rnacentral:rRNA from 1 species
GUAGGUGGCAAGCGUUGUCCGGAAUUAUUGGGCGUAAAGCGCGCGCAGGCGGUUCUUUAAGUCUGAUGUGAAAGCCCACGGCUCAACCGUGGAGGGUCAUUGGAAACUGGAGAACUUGAGUACAGAAGAGGAAAGCGGAAUUCCACGUGUAGCGGUGAAAUGCGUAGAGAUGUGGAGGAACACCAGUGGCGAAGGCGGCUUUCUGGUCUGUAACUGACGCUGAGGCGCGAAAGCGUGGGGGAGCAAACAGGAUUAGAUACCCUGGUAGUCCACGCCGUAAACGAUGAGUGCUAAGUGUUAGGGGGCUUCCGCCCCCCCCUUAGUGCUGCAGCUAACGCAUUAAGCACUCCGCCUGGGGAGUACGGCCGCAAGGCUG